rnacentral:rRNA from 1 species
UACGUAGGGGGCAAGCGUUGUCCGGAUUUAUUGGGCGUAAAGAGCGUGUAGGCGGCCUGGUAGGUCAGCUGUGAAAACUCGAGGCUCAACCUCGAGACGCCGGUUGAAACCAUCAGGCUAGAGUCCGGAAGAGGAGAGUGGAAUUCCCGGUGUAGCGGUGAAAUGCGCAGAUAUCGGGAAGAACACCCGUGGCUAAGGCGGCUCUCUAGUACGGUACUGACGCUGAGACGCGAAAGCGUGGGGAGCAAACAGGG